GCUCCCCCUGUGGACCCCUGUUUGAAAAGACUAGGAAGGCUCCGCACACUUCCUCGCCUCCACAGGUGAAAGAGAGACAAAGUCAACAUGAAGAAGAGCUCAUCAUCGAAGAUAUUGAAGACCUGGAGGAAGAACAGUGAAAGCUUGCGGAGAUGAAGAUGUAGCUCAGCGUUGUCUCACUGCCCUCUCAGCAGCCGCCGCCCCAGGCCAAGGCAAUUUGCUGGGCCUAGCAGUGGAAGCAGCACGUGCAAGACACCCCGUGAAGUGGCCCAGCAGGCCGUAGAUGCGGAUGUGCAUUGUGUGGCUUGGCUGCUGGCCACAAAACGCUUGUUCCUGAACUCCUCAAAGAGCUGCAUGCCCUUGGCCACCCAGACAUUCUCGUCAUGUGUGGAGGCGCCAUCCCUCCCCAGGAUUAUGACUUCCUGUAUGACUCAAUAGCCUCUGUAGAGUCUGAAGUUGGUGGCCUUAUGGGAGAUAUGGGCAGUUUCCAGUUCUGUGACCUCACGAAUCCUUUACUGAGAUGACAUGCACAAGACGGUGUGCUUCUUAUCAACCUGGGUUCCAGACCGAAGGUGUCCUGCAGUCUGCUUAGCUGACAUCUCAAAGUCCUGGUGGAAAGGAGGAAGCAUCCUUCCUCUUGCAGCCCACUUGAGAACGGGCAGGUGGUCCAUCCUUCUCCAUCAGUCCACUCAUUCGCCUGCAUGGAAUUUCUGGUCACCUAAUUUUACACACAGACGUCUACCACCGCGGCCCUUUUCUCUAGCGAGCAAAUAAGCUCCGAAGACUUACUCACCGCAGUUUCCUUCGGAUUGCAGUGCAAU